GGGGCAUGGGUAGAGGAGCUAGGGAGGCCAAAAUAAUGCAAUGAGUAAAGGGAAUUGUGAAGGUGAGUUUGUUAGUUACUAUGGGUAUAAUGACAAUGCAGAUAGAAAUUUGGGUAGCAUCAAACUUAGGAUUCCUACCUUUUUAGGCAAAUCAGAUCCGGAGGCAUAUUUGGAGUGGGAAAAGAGAGUAGACCUUAUCU
rnacentral:lncRNA from 1 species